GGAGGAGUGGCCGAGUGGUUUAAGGCGGUGGUCUUGAAAACCACUGUGCGAAAGCACCGUAGGUUCGAAUCCUACCUCCUCCG
rnacentral:tRNA from 1 species